rnacentral:rRNA from 1 species
AGUGAACGCUGGCGGUAGGCCUAACACAUGCAAGUCGAACGGCAGCACAGAGGAGCUUGCUCCUUGGGUGGCGAGUGGCGGACGGGUGGGGAAUACAUCGGAAUCUACUCUGUCGUGGGGGAUAACGUAGGGAAACUUACGCUAAUACCGCAUACGACCUACGGGUGAAAGCAGGGGACCUUCGGGCCUUGCGCGAUUGAAUGAGCCGAUGUCGGAUGAGCUAGUUGGCGGGGUAAAGGCCCACCAAGGCGACGAUCCGUAGCUGGUCUGAGAGGAUGAUCAGCCACACUGGAACUGAGACACGGUCCAGACUCCUACGGGAGGCAGCAGUGGGGAAUAUUGGACAAUGGGCGCAAGCCUGAUCCAGCCAUACCGCGUGGGUGAAGAAGGCCUUCGGGUUGUAAAGCCCUUUUGUUGGGAAAGAAAUCCAGCUGGCUAAUACCCGGUUGGGAUGACGGUACCCAAAGAAUAAGCACCGGCUAACUUCGUGCCAGCCGCCGCAGUAA